UGGGACAUAUUUCCCAACACACUUUCGGUCCCCACCCCAGAGGCAAAAUAAUGGAGGUCGAAAUCAUCGAUCCCGCAGUCCUCCGAGAAGAGUUCGACAACCAUCACCUCCUAGGCAGUAUAAUAACUAUACACCCCUGACUGUUCCUUAGAGAAAGGUGUUGUUACAAGUGGGUUCUGAGUUACCUGAGCCUCGGUUGAUGAGAAUAAGGUUGGAAUGCCAUCG
rnacentral:lncRNA from 1 species